UUAAUUGCUAAACUGACCUCAAGCAGCAUUGUGUUUAGUAAGAAGCCAUUUCCACUUCAGUUUCCAUAAAACACAGAGGCAGAAACAGCGUGAACACAAUAAAUACUUUAUAUGUCUAGAGUCAUAAAUAUUAAGAUUCAAUGUGCAGUGUAAGAGGUGUGGAUACAGUCAGUAAGGAACAGCGUAAAGGUGUGGAUACAGUCAGUAAGGAACAGUGUAAAGGUGUGGAUACAGUCAGUAAGGAACAGUGUAAAGGUGUGGAUACAGUCAGUAAGGAACAGUGUAAAGGUGUGGAUAGGGACACAGUAAAACCAUGACGAUACACAGAAGUAAAAAAUGA
rnacentral:lncRNA from 1 species